UAGGGAAUCUUCCGCAAUGGGCGAAAGCCUGACGGAGCAACGCCGCGUGAGUGAAGAAGGAUUUCGGUUCGUAAAGCUCUGUUGUUAGGGAAGAAUGAUUGUGUAGUAACUAUACACAGUAGAGACGGUACCUAACCAGAAAGCCACGGCUAACUAUGUGCCAGCAGCCGCGGUAAUACGUAGGUGGCAAGCGUUGUCCGGAAUUAUUGGGCGUAAAGCGCGCGCAGGUGGUUUAAUAAGUCUGAUGUGAAAGCCCACGGCUCAACCGUGGAGGGUCAUUGGAAACUGUUAAACUUGAGUGCAGGAGAGAAAAGUGGAAUUCCUAGUGUAGCGGUGAAAUGCGUAGAGAUUAGGAGGAACACCAGUGGCGAAGGCGGCUUUUUGGCCUGUAACUGACACUGAGGCGCGAAAGCGUGGGGAGCAAACAGGAUUAGAUACCCUGGUAGUCCACGCCGUAGACGAUGAGUGCUAAGUGUUGGUCUCAUAAGAGAUCAGUGCUGCAGCUAACGCAUUAAGCACUCCGCCUGGGGAGUACGACCGCAAGGUUG
rnacentral:rRNA from 1 species